GUAAACCAGCAGAUCCAGAAGUGCACACCUCCAGAUCACCCGGACGAGGACACAUUACCUGAUGCUUUGGAGUUAAUCCAGAGCAUUGUGGGGGAGGUGAACAAGAAGACGGGAGAGGCCGAGUGUCAGUUCUACAGGCGAGGUCUCAGCUACCUGGAUGAGAGUCAGAGACUACCAGAGAUCCAGCUGUCCCGCUUCCUGUACUGCCACGGAGAGCUGAAGAACAACAAGGGCCAGCGGCUGCAUGUCUUCCUGUUUGAGUUGGCGUUGGUGCUUUCCAGACCGGGGGAGGACAAGGACGGAGGUCAGGUGUUCAAUGUGUACAGACAACCUCUGCCCAAUGCCCUGAUCAACCUGGAGGAGAUCCCAGACGGGGAGGCUGCUGGAGGGGGCACCUUCAGGGGGGCAUUCACUGGAAAUGAUAAAGGUAACAUCUACAUACUGCAAACA